GACGAACGCUGGCGGCGCGCUUAACACGUGCAAGUCGAACGGAAAGGCCUGCUUUCCCUUGUGGAUUGCGGGUACUCGAGUGGCGAACGGGUGAGUAACACGUGAGUGAUCUGCCCCCAACUUGGGUAUAAGCCUGGGAAACUGGGUCUAAUUCCCGAUAGGACUGCAGGGUGGUGCCUGUGGUGGAAAACGAUUUUCUAGUGGUUGGGGAUGAGCUCGCGGCCUAUCAGCUUGUUGGUGGGGUAAUGGCCUACCAAGGCGGCGACGGGUAGCCGGCCUGGGAGGGUGGACGGCCACAUUGGGACUGAGAUACGGCCCAGACUCCUACGGGAGGCAGCAGUGGGGAAUAUUGCACAAUGGGCGGAAGCCUGAUGCAGCGACGCCGCGUGGGGGAUGACGGCCUUCGGGUUGUAAACUCCUUUCGACCGCGAGGAAGCCACCUGGUUGGAAGGGUGGUGACGGUAGUGGUAGAAGAAGCACCGGCUAACUACGUG
rnacentral:rRNA from 1 species